UGAUGACGAGACGCUAAGGCGUUGAAGCAGUGUAUGUCAGACUUCCAAGAAAAGCUCGCAAUGUCACAAAUAAAGAAUGCCUGUACCAUAACCGACACAGGUGGGUAGGUAGAGUAUACUAAGGGGCGCGAGAUAACUCUCUCUAAGGAACUCGGCAAAAUGACUCCGUAACUUCGGGAGAAGGAGUGCCUUAUUAUAAGGUUGCAAUAACAAGAUCCAAGCAACUGUUUAUCAAAAACACAGGUCUCCGCUAAGUCGUAAGACGAUGUAUGGGGGCUGACGCCUGCCCAGUGCCAGAAGGUUAAAGAAGUUGGUUAGUGUAUGCGAAGCUGAUGACUGAAGCCCUGGUGAACGGCGGCCGUAACGAUAACGGUCCUAAGGUAGCGAAAUUCCUUGUCGGGUAAGUUCCGACCCGCACGAAAGGCGUAAUGAUUUGGAUACUGUCUCGGAGAGAGGCUCGGUGAAAUAGACUUGUCUGUGAAGAUGCGGACUACCUGCACCAGGACAGAAAGACCCUAUGAAGCUUUACUGUAACUUGAAAUUGGAAUUGGACUUUGCUUGCGCAGUAUAGGUGGGAAGCGUUGAAAAUAUUCUUGCGGGAGUAUUGGAGCUAUCAGUGAGAUACCACUCUUGUAAUGUUAGAUUUCUAACUUUGAACCAUAAUCUGGUCAAAGAACAGUUUCAGGUGGGCAGUUUGACUGGGGCGGUCGCCUCCCAAAUGGUAACGGAGGCGUACAAAGGUUUCCUCUGAACGGAUAGAAAUCGUAUCUAGAGUGUAAAGGCAUAAGGAAGCUUGACUGUGAGACCUACAAGUCGAGCAGGGACGAAAGUCGGUCUUAGUGAUCUGACGGUACUGAGUGGAAAGGCCGUCACUCAACGGAUAAAAGUUACUCUAGGGAUAACAGGCUGAUCUCCCCCAAGAGUUCACAUCGACGGGGAGGUUUGGCACCUCGAUGUCGGCUCAUCGCAUCCUGGGGCGGUAGUACGUCCCAAGGGUUGGGCUGUUCGCCCAUGAAAGCGGUACGCGAGCUGGGUUCAGAACGUCGUGAGACAGUUCGGUCCAUAUCCGGUGUAGGCGCUAGAAUAUUGAGAGGAGCCUUCUUUAGUACGAGAGGACCGAGAAGGACACACCGCUGGUGUACCAGUUAUCGUGCCAACGGUAAACGCUGGGUAGCUAUGUGUGGAGUGGAUAACCGCUGAAAGCAUCUAAGUGGGAAGCCCACCUCGAGAUGAGUA
rnacentral:rRNA from 1 species